GUCAGAAACCACCUUGUUAGAAGAAAAAAUAAAAUUAAACUAAAAAGAAUAUAGAGAAAUUAAAGAAAAAUAAUAAUGGUGGAAAAAGCAGCAGUGAUAAAUUGAUAAUCGUAGGUGCUGCUGGAACUUCAGGUUUAGCUGCUGUAGCAUGUUUAACACAAAAUUCAGUUCCAUUCAUUCUUCUCGAAAGAGAAGAUUGUUUUGCUUCCUUAUGUUAAAAAUACACCUAUGAUCGUCUUCACCUUCACCUUGGGAAAAAAGUGUGUAAGCUUCCCUAUCUUCAAUUCCCUGAUUCCUACCCUCGCUAUGUUCCUAAGAAGCUCUUCACUGAGUAGUUAGACAACUAUGUGAAGCACUUCAACAUCUCCCUCUAUUUUCUAUUUUUCACUUCAAGCUGUCCCCUUCUCUCCCUGUCUCGCUCGAAACCCUAAAUCCCAUUUUCCCGUUCAUUCUCUUCUGGAUAGCUCGGUCCCUCCUUCUGGCCUAUAUCAUCUCUGUCGAUGUUGUGAUCCCUCGUCCAACUCCUCUGUGUGACCUCCCGUUUUCUCCCGUUUUCUCGCUUUGUCUCUCACAGUGUCGCGGUCACUUUCAAACCCUAGCCCUUCAACCCCGAUUUUUUCCAUUCCAGAUCGUGUUUCUCGAGCCUUUCUUGCAUUAUGCCAUCCUGUGCUUGAGACGCUCUCUCGCUCUCUAUUGUUCGGUGUAUCUUUCGAUCCGAAACCCUAGACCUUCUUUCCCGCUGUCCUCCUUCCAGUUCGGGUUUCUCUCUGGGUAAAUUGUUGAUAUCCAGAAGAGAAUGAAGGGAAAAAUGGGAUUUAGGAUUUCUUCGAUUACUCAAAACGCCGGUAUAUGCCGAGUGGAAUCAAGAGCUGGUCCAGUCGAAGCCAGAUGGCUGGCGAUAGAAGCCCUGAAGGUGUUUAAAAGAUCAAGUGAGAAUCCGUGCUGGAUUCUGAUAUGAGAUUGCAACAUAGUUCUACUGGAGUCAGAAAGUUUGCAAGAAAGUUAAGUUAAAUAAUUUUUUUCUUGCUUUUUUUUAUAAAUUAUGUUUAAUUUGUUCAUUUUUGUGGUUUUAAAAUAUUUUUUUGUUAUUCGAGAUAAUGUAUAUUUUAAUAUUUUAAAUUGAUAAUCUUUUUAUUAUUACUCUAAUCACUGUUAGUAUCUCUUACCCUUAUUUCAAAUCUAUCAAAUUAAGUGUAAGAUUUGGGAAGUGCAUGAAGAAAAAAGAAAACAUUUGUGUUUUUAGCAAGUGCCAUGAUUUGAUAGGAUCUUUAGGGUGGGUUUGGAAUUGUAUAUUGGUAUAUGUAGUUUUUUAAAAGCAAGAUAUUUGUAUUUCAAUAUUGAUAUUUGUAUUUUUUCUGUUGAUUUCCUUUGGCUAAGGCACGUUUAUAUAUUUCCAGUGUUGUUUUAGUGUUGCAAAGCAAUGAAUUAGCUCUUUUUAUAUAUAGUAUAUGUACGUGUGCAUUGGACUAGCUACCUUAGUUCUUCUUGCAAUUGUCACACUUUAGAAAUAACUACACCAUGCAUGUUAAUAAAUGGAUUUUUAAAAUAAAUUUUGUCUAACUCUUAUUCUUCUAACUGUUAUUUUUUUAUUAUUAUGAACACAUCAAAAUCACUUUGUCAAGGGUGCUUCUUCAUCUUUUUUGCAAAUGAAUACUGCUGAUGGGUUUGGUGCCUAUUUUCUGGAGAAACUCAUUCCAUCAAAGUUGAGGAGCUCCUCUUCAAGGAUCAGUCAUAGUACCAAGAAGCCUUGGUUUUUGAGUCCGUGGCACAAAGUGCUGGUGUUUGACGGGGUUGUUCAGUUGACCAAGAAGGAUGAAUGUGCUUAGCACGAGAUGAUUGCUCAUCUUCCCCUUUGUUCAGUUGAGUCCCCCAAAAAUGUGAAAAACGUUAAUGCAUUGCUGGAGGUUGAGGUGAGUUUUAUUAUUUCUCAGUUUUUUAUUUUUCCCAAAAGUUGAUUCUGCGUAGGUUGGAGCAAAUUUCUAAUUUUGGACUUCUGCGUCUCUUUGAUUUUUAUUUUAUUAUUUGAUAAAUAAAAUCUUGUGACAGUUUGCUUUGAUUGAAUUUUUGGCAUGGUGGUGUUUUUUAUUUUACUUUUAUUUAUGAUGCUAAAUUAGCUUUUCAUCUUUGAAUUAUUGAUGUCCUAUUUCUUCUUGGGUAUUUAACUAAAUAAAUAAUUCGCGUCGGUGUUCUGCUUUUUUUUUCACCUUUUGCUUCGUCCUGGAACUAUUAACUUUCUAACUCUUAAAUGAUAUAUUAGUCAUUUAAUUUUAAAAAAGCUUCUGUGGUUUUAGGUGAAAAUUUCUAUAAGAUUCAAUCCAAUGCACUUUUUCUCUAUUGAAUCUGUAAGCAUCAAAGAUCUCAUCUUUGCCUUUUCAUCUACUUCUUUUAUAUCACUUGCUUUUUUAUUCUUUCAUUCGUUAUUAUUAUGAAUUUUUUUAUUAUUGGUUUGUUUUUCGAAUGUUAAUUGGUAGAUAGAAAACAUCAAGGCAUUGAUGGAGGCUGAGGUGUGUGUCAUUAUUUCCCAGUUUUUAGUUUUUCCCAAAAUUUGAUUAUGCUUAGGUGGGAACAAGUUUUAAAUUUAGGAAUCAUGCGUCUAUCUGAGAAUUUUUUUAUUAAUUGAUAAACAAAAUCUCGUAAAGUUUGCUGUUAUUGUUUUCUGGCAUGGUGUUGUUAGUUAUUUUAUUUUCAUUUAUGAUUUUACAUUAGCUUUUAUUUUUUUUAUGCCCUAUUUCUUCUUGGGUAUUUAACUAAAUAAAUAAAUAGUAUUGCUAUUUUUUUUUUUUACCAUUUACUUCGCACUGGAGCUCUGAACUCUUAUUUUUCAAACUCUUAAAUGAUACAGUUUUAUGCAUUUAAUUUUAAAAAAGUUUUGUGGUAAAAAGUGGAAAAUGUUAUAAAAAUCAAUCCAAUACAUUUUUUCGUUAAUUUAUAUUUUGAAAAAUCGUCAUGUGUUUUGUUACUAUUCUUUAUUUUGUUCUUUUUCUGUUUCUCUGAUUUUUUGGUUUUUAUCUUCUUGAGAAUUUAUUCUAUGAAUACAUAUUUUGUUUCUCUGUUUUCUGAAAUAAUAUUAGUAAGCGGCUUAUCCUUUUUUAGUAUUAUUCUAUAGUGCUAGAAUUGUACUUAAAUUAUUCACAUUUUUCUUUUUCAGAAAUUUUUGCACCCAAACGAAUUGAGAGCCUGUGCCUUUUUGACUCUUUUUUUCAUUGUGUUGUUACUUGUUAGUAACUAGACUUCAUUUGGAUAAUAAGCACUGCUGUUGUGAAUGUGAUAACCGACACUGGAAUCAAAUUUUUUAAUACAUGAAUUUUGUGUCUCUGAGAGUUUUAUUUUAUUAUUUGAUAAACGAAAUCUUGUGAGAGUUUGCUUUGAUUGAAUUUUUGGCAUCGUGGUAUUAUUUAUUUUAUUUUCAUUUACGAUGCUAAAUUAGCUUUUAAUCUUUGAAUUAUUGAUGCCCUAUUUCUUCUUGGGUAUUUAACUAAAUAAAUAUUUAGCGUUGUUGUUCUGUUUUUUUUUUAACCAUAUGCUUUGCACAGGAAAACUCUUAACUCUUAUUUUUCUAACUCUUAAAUGAUACAUUUUUAUGUAUUUAAUUUCUAAGCUUCUAUGAUAAAAAGAGAAAAAUUCUAUAAAAUUCAAUCCAAUGCACUUUCUCUCUCUAAGUUUCUUUAAUUUCUAUAACAAAUAAUCUCUCUAACUUUAUACUGUGCAAUUUCAAGUGCUGGUUUCUUUAAUUUGUAUUUUGAAAAGUCGUCACGUGUUCUGUAACUAUUCUUUAAUUUGUUCCUUUUCUGUUUCUCUCAUUUUUAUUAUUUUUUAUCUUCUUGGUUAUUUAUUUUAGAAAUACAUAUUCUCUUUUUCUCUUUUUUUGAAAUAAAAUUAGUGAGAAGCUUAUCCUUAUUUGUAUUAUUAUACACCACUUGAAUUGAACUUGGAUUAUUUAGAUUUUGUUAUUUAUUUUUUGUAAUUUGUGGUACAAUUUAUUUUUUGUAGUUUGCUCUUAGAUAAUUUUAUUAAGAUAUUAUGUAGUUUUUCUGCACUUUAUCCACAUGGAUGUGUUUUUAAAUAGAUUCAGAUCUCCUUGGUUUAAUCACAGCUGUCUCAGUUCUUUCUGCUUUUUUGGUGCUGUAAGUUUACAAAGUUUGUUAGUUUACCAAUUCUCUUUGUCCCUUAACUUAGAGGAGAACAUACAUUUUAAAAAUGAAAAUAUAUUAUUCUUUCAAAUAAAAAAAUAACGCCUAAUAAUGGAGGUUGAGGUGAGUGUCAUUAUUUUUCAGUUUUUAGUUUUUCCCAAAAUUUGUUUCUGUUUAGGUAGGAACAAGUUUUAAAUUUAAGAAUCAUGCAUCUAUCUGGAAAUUUUAAUUUAUUAAUUGAUAAACAAAAUCUCGUGAGUUUUUGCUGUUAUUGAUUUUUGUUAUGGUGUUGUUAGUUAUUUUAUUUUUAUUUAUGAUUCUAAAUUAGCUUUUAUUCUUUUUUUAUUAAUGCCCGAUUUCUUCUUGGGUAUUUAACUAAAAUAAAUAGUAUUGUUAUUUUCUUUCACCAUUUGCUUCGCACUGAACCUGAUCUCUUAUUUUUGAAACUCUUAAAUGAUAGUUUUAUGCAUUUAAAUUUAAAAAGGUUCUGUGGUAAAAAGUAAAAAAUUCUAUAAAAAUCAAUCCAAUACAUUUUUUUCUUUGUAAAAUUAUUUAAUUUCUAUAAGAAAUACAACAAAAAAGUCUUGUCCCACUAGGAGGAGUCGACUAUAAGAAAUUUCAGCUACUGACUUUAUUAAUUUGUAUUUUUAAAAGUCAUGAUGUGUUUUGUUAUUAUUCUUUAUUUUGUUCUUUUUCUUUUUCUUUUUUUUUUUGAAAUAAGAUUAGUAAGUAGUUUAUCCCUUUUUAGUAUUAUUCUACCAUGUUAGAAUUGUACUUGAAUUAUUCACAUUUUUCUUUUUCAGAAUUUUUGCACCCAAUCGAAUUGAGAGCUACAUUUACCUUUGUGCCUUUUUGACUCUUUUUUUCCUUGUGUUGUUAGUAACUAGAGUGCAUUUGUAUAAUAAGCACGUUUUGAAUUUGAUAACCGACAUUGGAAGCAAAUUUUUUAAUAUAGAAAUUGUUUCUUGAGAGUUUUAUUUUGUA